AACUGACUCUCCUCCAAAACAAAACAAAACAAACAAACAAACAAAAAAACAGAAUAAUCUUAAUGAUUCUAUAUGCCAGUUGAAGUUCUUAGCAUAUCUACCACAGUGGGGAAAACUAAGUCUGGUAACCCUGACAAACUUUUGUUAGAGAAAAACCUAGAACCUGUCACAGCAGUGAUCUGAGGUAAGCGCUCUGUUCUGCAGGCAUUGCUGUCUGGGAGGAACCGUGAGGACAGGAGUCUCAACUGCUGUCAUCUUUCUGCCGCUAUAGCAGAUACCAGAGAUGAACAAUGAAAAGAUUAUCUUCUAAACUGGUCAGUAAUGGUGGACCACUUUAAUCCCAGCACUCAGGAGGCAGAGGCAGGCAGAUCUCUGAGUUUGAAGUCAGCCUGGUCUACAGAGCAAGUUCAAAGACAGCCCAGGGCUAACUUUGGUUCUCUUUGUUAUUAGAGGUUUCCUUUCAUAGUCGCUUGGCCACAUUUCUUUUUUUUUUCUAACAGAUACACAAAGUGGUAGGACGUUGAGGCAGAGAAAACCUAGUCACCCCAUGGAUGGGAAAUGAAAAGAGACAAAGAAUGACUGUGCAUCAGUCUGGUCCCGGGACACAUCCUCCAUGACCGGAAGAGCUGACUCGAGGAUGGAGUAGCGGGUCCACCACUUUCCACUAGCGCCUGCUAGAGACCAAACAUACAGAAUAAUGGAGUGCACGAGCAUUUGGGGGCAUAUGAAGAGCCUCGGAAGCAACAUCUCUCAUGGUACUCAGUCUAGUCCUCCGAGAUGUUGACUGGGAAGCCUGGAAGGUGUCCUGAGAACCAGAGGAAGAGCAAAUAGCUUUGGCUCCUCCACUUGGGUCCGCAUUAUGUUAUUUCCACAGGUUGAAUCUUCCUGAGAGAGAAGGCUGCUAGAGAAAAUCAGGGCCACCUGCGUCCACGACUGUAUUUUGUGACUCCAAGAACCUUCUUCUUAUGGAGACGGAGUAUGGCCCAGAGAACAACUGCCCCAAAAGGAGUCUUUGCUGUUGGACGUUUUUAAGGAAUUGCUUUAAUCCUAGCUACGGUCCUUCAUUCCUUUCUAUGUUUCUACUGCGGGCUGCCAGUUCUUCAAAUGGCCUGACUCCACCUGCAUUCUGCCCCGCAAUGGCCAACUUCAAUAGAAUUAAACGUCACAAACGGCAGUUUGUAACAUCUUCAUGAAGAGAUCCA
rnacentral:lncRNA from 1 species